CGGGACGGGUGAGUAACGCGUGAGUAACCUGCCUUUCAGAGGGGGACAACAGUUGGAAACGACUGCUAAUACCGCAUAACAUAUUUGGAUCGCAUGGUCUGAAUAUCAAAGAUUUAUCGCUGAAAGAUGGACUCGCGUCUGAUUAGGUAGUUGGCGGGGUAACGGCCCACCAAGCCGACGAUCAGUAGCCGGACUGAGAGGUUGAACGGCCACAUUGGGACUGAGAUACGGCCCAGACUCCUACGGAAGGCAGCAG
rnacentral:rRNA from 1 species